AUACGGAGGGUGCGAGCGUUAAUCGGAAUUACUGGGCGUAAAGGGUCCGUAGGCGGUCUGCUUAGUCUGAUGUGAAAGCCCCGGGCUUAACCUGGGAAUGGCAUUGGAUACUGGCGGACUAGAGUCUGGUAGAGGGUGGUGGAAUUCCCGGUGUAGCGGUGAAAUGCGUAGGUAUCGGGAGGAACACCAGUGGCGAAGGCGGCCACCUGGACCAAGACUGACGCUGAGGGACGAAAGCGUGGGGAGCAAACAGGAUUAGAUACCCUAGUAGUCC
rnacentral:rRNA from 1 species